GAUUAACGCUGGCGGCAUGCCUAACACAUGCAAGUCGAACGAGAUCUUCGGGUCUAGUGGCGCACGGGUGCGUAACGCGUGGGAAUCUGCCCUUUGGUUCGGAAUAACAGUUGGAAACGACUGCUAAUACCGGAUGAUGACGAAAGUCCAAAGAUUUAUCGCCAGAGGAUGAGCCCGCGUAGGAUUAGCUAGUUGGUGUGGUAAAGGCGCACCAAGGCGACGAUCCUUAGCUGGUCUGAGAGGAUGAUCAGCCACACUGGGACUGAGACACGGCACAGACUCCUACGGGAGGCAGCAGUGGGGAAUAUUGAACAAUGGGCGAAAGCCUGAUCCAGCAAUGCCGCGUGAGUGAUGAAGGCCUUAGGGUUGUAAAGCUCUUUUACCCGGGAUGAUAAUGACAGUACCGGGAGAAUAAGCUCCGGCUAACUCCGUGCCAGCCGCCGCAGUAA
rnacentral:rRNA from 1 species